rnacentral:rRNA from 1 species
AAUAGAUACCCGGGUAGUCCACGCCGUAAACGAUGGAUACUAGCUGUUGGGGGCAACUUCAGUGGCUAAGCGAAAGUGAUAAGUAUCCCACCUGGGGAGUACGAACGCAAGUUUGAAACUCAAAGGAAUUGACGGGGGCCCGCACAAGCGGUGGAGCAUGUGGUUUAAUUCGAUGAUACGCGAGGAACCUUACCAAGGCUUAAAUGCAGACUGACCGAUUUGGAAACAGAUCUUUCGCAAGACAGUUUACAAGGUGCUGCAUGGUUGUCGUCAGCUCGUGCCGUGAGGUGUCAGGUUAAGUCCUAUAACGAGCGCAACCCCUGUUGUUAGUUGCCAGCGAGUGGUGUCGGGAACUCUAACAAGACUGCCAGUGCAAACUGUGAGGAAGGUGGGGAUGACGUCAAAUCAUCACGGCCCUUACGCCUUGGGCUACACACGUGCUACAAUGGCCGGUACAGAGAGCAGCCACCCCGCGAGGGGGAGCGAAUCUAUAAAGCCGGUCACAGUUCGGAUCGGAGUCUGCAACUCGACUCCGU